CAUCAAGUAUAUAUCGAAGGAACGCUGGUUCAUUUAACUGCUAAUUUUGAAUUGUCACAAAUAGGCAUUGACUUUAAUACAGGGCGUAAUACAGUUUGUAGAAAUGUACAUAUUUUUUUAUUAUUUACAAAAAAUAAAAAUUCGUUUCUCAAAACAUUUCAACAAGUCACUAAACAUUUUAAGAUAGAAACAUGUAAAAACCAGGUUAGGAGUCUCAUAAAUAAAUCAUUGAACUGGGCUAGAAAUUUUAAUAGGGCUGAGGACAGUAAGCGUUUUUUUGACUUUUGGAAUAAACCAUUUUUAAGCCAUAUAUCAAGUUUGCCUAACAUUGUAUUAUCAUCAGGUUCCUCAGAAGUUUCAUAUACCAAUAUGAAUGUUUGAUCUCUUUUUACUAGUGGACCGUCAACAUUGCAAGUUAUAGCAAACAAGACGUUACUAAACAUAUAUUUAGAAAAAAAUUAAGCCCUAUAAAACAAAAACUAAAAGGUAGGUUAUCUUACAUGUCUUCUUGGUUAGCUAACUCUUACAAAAAACGCCGGAGCAAGAUAGCACUAUUAAAAGCUGAAUUAAACAGCAUGCCAAAUCAAUUAUGUGUUUUAAGACAAAAUGUUAGAUAAAAAGAAAAAAUAAUUAAAGCUUUAAGGGCAGAAAUACGAAACCUGAAAAACUCACAUAACAAAAAAAAUUAUGGUGAGCAGAUUCGUCACUUUUAAGCUGAAAACAAAUUUGAAAUUAUAUGAAAAGCAUAAGUUAAGGUAACUCAAAAUUAAGCAUAAUGCCGCUGUUUUGACAAGUAACAGGGCAAUUGCUAGUUUGGAAAAUGAUUUUCACUAUUCCAGAUUGAGGAGGAAAGAAAGCUAAUUAUGCCAGAAGAUGAAAAAACAUAUUCAUUACAAAUAAGAAUAAUAAUUUUUUAUAUGUUUUGUAAUGUACCAACAGGUAACAUUCUAUAUCUUAUGAGCAAAAUAGAACAUUUUAUAGGUAUUAUUUUUAAUAAUAUUCCUCAUCGAAGUACUGUUGAGAAAAGGGUUGUGAACUUGGCAGUAUUUUAGGUUUCCAAGCAGCAGAGUGGGCUAUGCAUAAUAAUAAUUCUACACAUGGGUUUGAUGACACAACACAAUAAGGUGUCCACAUUAAUAGCAUCAACUUAACAUCUAAAGAUAAAUGUCUUGUUAUUAGUCUAGAUCAGUUACCAGGAGGAACAGCAUUUGAUUAUGAAAAUCAUUUUCAUCCACGUCAUCACUGCCAUCUGGCGCUCAUACGGAAAAUCAAGACCUUAUCUGCUUGUCUGGGAGUGAUUUCUUGGUUUGGCGCCGAAGCCACCCUUGGCCUAAAUCAAAAAGGGACUUCUGCAUAUGGACCCAGAAUGGAGGAAAAAAUUGGGCGACAAGUAUUUUAAAAUAUAAUAGACAUGUUUUAUCAAAUCAAUAUGCAACUAAUAUUGCAACAGAAAGAGCAAAAUCUUCAUCUAAUGUAAUUGAUAAUUUCUUCGAUAAACCUGAAAAAAAUAUGACAAAUAUUUUACCUGACUACAUCAUCCACUAUGACAAACCUGAGUGAUGAACCUGGAGCCAAAAAAUAUACAUUUAAUCAAGGUACUAAGUACCCAAAAAAGGUUUUAAACAGUUCUAAAACCUCAGCAAGUUUAAUGUUUGCUAGAACUGCUUCCGGUACUAUUUUACCCACUUAUGUUGUUUAUAAAUCAGAACAUUUGUGGGAUACUUGGAUGGAAGGUAGCAGCCGUGGCGCAGUGGUAGCGCACUUGCCUAAGAAACGUAAGUUCCGUGGUUCAAACCCCACCUCUGGGCAAGUUUUGCGACAUCGGUUGGGAAGGAGGCGUGAACU